rnacentral:snRNA from 1 species
ACGACGUCGUUUUCAUUCUUCU